ensembl:lncRNA
AUAUAUAUAUAAAUAGAUAGCAUAAAUAGAUAGAUAAAUAGAUAGGGAUUGAUAACUGGACAGUUACCAAUCCCAAAACUCAAAAGCGAUUAAGCCUAUGACCUGAGUUUUGGGAAGAGCAAGGCUACCUGUAAGCAGUCAUAGAAGGAGUGUCUGGGAAACCUGCUUGGAAACGAUUUAGUGGCACGGUACAGCAGUUGUAGGUGCAGACCAAGUCUUGAUGGCCUGCUCAGGACUGACAAAAACAUGUGUUAACAUCUUUAUUAACGAAUAACCAAAUCAAACCCCUUCUCUGACGCAGUCUGACGUGGUAACAUUUAACGAUAUCGAAAGUUAAGAUUUUAUUGUUGGUACCUUCAAAGUACUGAUAAUGAUUUAAAACCGUUUAGGACACUCCCGUCGCUAGUUCACGUCCAGUUUGAUCGUAGAUGCAACGUAGCACGAACGCAGAUUGUUAAGGGUGCUCUUUCUUCAUUUAAAAGCAGACAAUGACCAGUCUCCGUCAAACUCUAUAACCCUGUGAAAUCA